GUGUAAUGUUAUUUGUUUCUUAUAUAAAUGUGGAAUAAAUAAUUGUGUGUGUUAAGCAAUUGGAAAAUAAUUAUAAAAGUAAAUAAUCUAAUAUGUGUAUUAUAUUUCAUAUUGACAAUGAUGUCAUUUCCGGCAAGGACCGUUAGUUUUUUUUUGUGAUGCGAUAUUGGAGCGAAACCGUGUAACAUUUUUCCAGGUAAUUUUGUUAUUAAACUUAACCUAAAGAAAGUUACUGGACUACAGAACGUUAUUCGAGUUCAAAUCACGCUCACACAUGAAGAAGAAGCAAGAAAGAUGAAAAUUUAAACGGAUUGCUAACACAAAAAAGUCAAAAAACUCGCUGUGGAUAUGGAAAACGAAAGUGAAAGUGCGCGGACGGCGCGCAUUUGAAUCGAUGGCAAGGACAUCAUCAAGGAAGUCAUCGUCUGUGAAUGAACACUGAAAUGUUUCACGAUCGUGGACUAUGAAUAAUGGACAGUGCUUUACUCUCCAGUGGAUUUAAACUGCGUCACAGAGAACAACGUCGUUACUUGUAAAAGUUCCGCUCUUUGAAUGAGGUAACGGACUUUUAAAUCAGCUAUAGAAUUGACGCAAUGCAUGUUUGAAGAAGCUGAAAUGCAUUCGAUUGAUACAGAAAGGUAUCGUGCGUACUUUUAAUCGUCUGCAAGCAGUUUGUGCAUUGAUGGAAUUAAGAUGGCUGAAGGGGCGAGGACGUUGCAGUUUUUGAACACAAAAGGGCGCCUGAAACCCACUGAAAGAGCGUUAGAGGAGCAGCUUCACAGACGCAUUGGACUAAGAGCGAAAUUAUCUGCUCUUACCAGUAAAAGUAAAGACAUUGAAAAGUUGAUGAUUGAUGAGGAAAAUCUGCAGAAUGUACAAGAGUUGAUGCAACUUGACUUUGCAUACUUGCUAAUGUGGGGAUCUGUGUUUUCUUGUUGGUGGUUACCUGCACUGAUAAUCAGUGUGGGGAUCAUGUGAUCUGCAUUGUGUGGCUGCUUGUCUUGGGUCACAUGAGGCAUGUCACAUGACACAUUAGGAGAUUAUAAAGUUUGGCUUGUGGAGUUCACACUCUCUUGCUGCUGCCAUUUGCCAUUGCAACUAGACUCCCGUCAUACAGGGUGACUGCUAGAACAAUGUGUUCCACUCUUCAUGAAGGACACAGGUGACCGCGUGGCAUUUGAAGGACUUGUGGCCUCCUAUUGAGUUGCUGGGCUGCAGACACUCUGCACUGGAGUGCCCCAUUUUAUCUUCCUGGGUUAUUGUGCUGCGGGGAGUAUUGAACACUCUUGCAAAGUAGGCCAAUACUUCUUGUAUAUGUUGGUUUUAUGUGUGCUGGUGAAUGAAAUUGGGGAUUAAUGUGCAUUAUUUCUUUUUAAAGGGACCAGGCCAGCCACUGUUUUAUUGUCAGUGUACAAGUCUUUUUUUUUUAGUUUGUUUGUUGGUUGUUUUGUUUGCCUUUGGCUUUGUCCUUUUUUUUUUUGGUCCUUGGUCUAGUGUAACCCUGCCUUGACCAAGCCAGUGCGGUGGUCAUUGUGUUGGGAGCUGGCUGUUCUCCUCUUUUUGUCUCUGUAUAGGUUCUCUGUACAAGGCCGGAUCUGCACCUCACUACUGCUCCUUUCAGUUGGGGGCUGCACUGAGGGGACACUAUUUUGGUGUGUACUGGUAACAUGCAACACGGUGUGGUAUUUUGUAGUGGUAAUUACUGACCUUGUGUGUGCAGUGUUUGCUAUGUUGCAUGCUUGUAUGGUGUUGGGUUUGUUGUGUCUGUCUCUCUCACCAGGGCCUCCUAGGAGAGGAGCUGUGGGUGCCGUGCCGACCCGACCUUAUUAGUUUGAGAAGCUCCAGCCAGUUUCCCUUCGUCUCUUUUUCACAUUAGCAAUUGUACCUAUUCAAAAUUGUAAUAAAUUUGAGCUUGUGUACA